UUUAUUCCUUUAAAAGUGGUGUUUGGCAAAUUUUUAGUAAUCUUUUUAGUACGCUUUUAGUCUAACUUCAGUCCAAACAUGUAACCACAAUAAUAUUGGAAAAGCAGGAGCAAUAGAUCUUGUUUAAUUCAAAUUACAACUGCAUAAGUACAAGUAAAAUUGUCAUUCGGGAUUAGAAUGAAAGAAAAGUCCGUCAAAACGUCCGUUGAAAGAGAAGCCAAACGUACUUCCGGUUCCUGUCCGUCCCCAAGACACACACGGAGACUUUUUCUUUUUUCUUUUUUACAAAUGGGGCGUGUCUCCUCACAACCAGCAGGUGCAGAAAGUUUAUUUAGAUUAAAGCCGAAAACAUUAUUUAAUACAAUCUUCAUGGAAAAUAAUACAUUCUUUCACUUGAGCUGAGCUUUAAGCUGAGGACAGAUUCAGCCUGGAUUGUCUGCUCUCAGAACAGAUGGUGAGGAGUGAGGCCCCCAGGACUCAGGGGAACUGGCUGUGGCCCUGCCAGUGCAUGAUGGGAAAAUUUCAGAGCUAUAGCAGAAGCUCUGGGUCACUUCCAGACCCUGGAGGUGCAGUAGCAGCGCCACCUAUCCUACUCCCUGCCCUCCGUUCUGCAGCUCUGGUUCACACCGAGACCUGUCAGGAUUUGACACUGAAUCUGUCAGAUUUUGAUAAGGUAGAAGAAAGGGAGCAGAAAGAGGAGGAGGAGGAGGAGGAGAAAGAGGAGGAGGAGCAUCUUAUUUACUGAAUGAUUAUCAUUAGAAAGAUGACAUGGUUUUUAAACCUCUCUUUUACACAGUCUGAUGUCCAGAAAGUCAGUGACUUUACAUUACAGCAUAUUUGAGGGUCCAAGGUCAGUAGACAUUUUGAAGGUGGGCUCUGCUGCUGGCCUCCAUCUCAUGCUGUCCUUCCUCUGCCUGAACCUCCUCUACAUCACUGCUGCUAACAUUAGUGUAAAUUAUGGUAUAAUAAUUUAAUAAAGUUGGCAGCUUGAUCUGUCCUUUUUAUUACAAUUAUCAUCAGGCAGUGGGGUUGCGUUCCAUCACUGGAAAAUAAACACCAUCCAUCAUGCUUGUGGCGAUUAAACCCUGACAGGCUGAGCUGCGCUCUGCAUAAACACAGUGUAAUGAUGAAGCUGGAGGAGAAGGAGAUGUUUCCUCAUCGAACUCUCUGCUUUCACCAGGGAACAUGACAACACAGAACCGUGGAACUAAACAACUCUCAGUUCUGCUAGUUCCGCUUUGUGUCCUUCCAGAACUUUCCAGAAAACCUGGCACCACCGCCGCUGCCACCUUCUGGCCAUCGGAGCCUUAAAUCUAACUUAAUAUGAAUCUGUUACUGACUUUGAGAGAAGCUGGACUUUUUUGUUUCUCCGAGUUAUCGCUGCUUGAAUCAGCGUUGCAUCAGGAUCCGCUGAAUGUUUCAUGUUCUCUUUGUGUUCCUCUCCAGAACAAGGUGUUUCUGAGGAGAAAGGAGCUGCUCUUUGAUUUUGUUCGUCCUGAAAAAUGUAUGAUCACACACACACACACAC